GCAGGUAAACAAGCAGGUUACACAAGUGAAGGAGAGGAGUGACUCUGGCAGACUUUUGUCUCUCGGUCUCCGCUAUGACAUGUGUCAUUGGAAAGAAAAUGGAAUGAGUCUGCCUUAAGCACCUGAACUCUGAGGUUGAUGGGCGUCCUAUGCAUGGUGAAGGAGUGACAAAAGAGGUCUUGGCCUCUUUCCACUCUACUAAUCAGCCAGACUGUUUGCCAUCUACUUGCAGCAUUUUGGAUGGAAAGGGAGGUGCAGCAGGUCAUAUCCAGACAGAUCCAGGUUUCUCCCCUCCCUGCUCUCCCAGGCUCUCUCACCAUUCUCCAGCAUUGCCCAUGCCAUAACAAAACAAAAACAAGCUAACAGCACUUGAUUUUUGUGCUAUGUACCUGCUGAAGAGGCCCAUUUAGCUCUGCUCAGUCACAAGUGAAACUGCUUACCUCCAGAUGGACACUUAUUCGCAAGUAUUUUUCAACUAGUUUGACCUUAUUUCUCAGAAACCAGACAUUCUCCAGGGCAGGUUGUGGCUAGUAAAUCAACUGUAGUGUU